rnacentral:lncRNA from 1 species
CAGGAAAGAAGAGCCCCGGUAGGAUGGUACAAGGAAAUCUCCACUGAAGCUGUCUGGUUUUCCUGAUGCAACCAACUGUUUAAUGGUGAAAAGGAAAGGCACACGCUCACCACCAGGUAGCUGAACAGUCACAGCAGCAUAGUCAAUGCCAUCUUUCUCCUCAAACUUGAUGUUUCCAUCAGAAGAGACUUCGAAAGGUCCCUCAAUCUCGUCAAGAGUGUAGGUUAAACGUGUCAUAAGCUUAGUUUUUUGGAAAUCAGGUGGGGAAUUCUUGUUUAUACCUUCAGCCUUGACUGUGAAUGAAGUUGGCUCUAAGCAGAUCUUCUUAGCAUUGUAUUUGCCGGGCUUGAAGGCAAAUGAAUCAAGUCCUCCGUCAAUGGUUGGGCAUUGGUUAGCAGUUCCAGAUCCUUUUA